CAAGCGCUGCAAAAGAGGGAGCAGGGAAGAAAUUCUAUCUCCUCUGACCUCGCCUCACAAGUCAUAAGUCAUUAUUUCUACCACAUUCUAUCCACGGAAGCAGUCAUCAGUCCCACUCAGGUUCAGAGGGAGACUAACUAGAAUCUGCUUUUUGAUGAAGAGAGGCCAGGUUCUGGAAGAGGAGUAAAAGAAACUGGGAAGCAGUGCUUCUGGAGAUGGUGUAGUGGUUUUACAGGCACCUGGAAGGAGGCGUCACCAUCCUUCCUAGCGCUGGCUUCCAUUUUCAAGGUCACCGUUGGAGAUCCAGCUAUUUAUAUGCCCGAGUUCUCCAGGGAGGAAGAUGGAGGAAGGGGCUGUCUCCAUGGAUGUGCAUAUUCUGGGCAUUUAGAAUCAUACAAUAUGUGGUCCUUUGUAUCUGGCUGCUUUUACUUAGGACGAUGUUUCCAAAGGUCAUUCGUGUAGCACGUAUCAGUACUUCAUUCCUUUCUGUUACUAAAUAACAUUCCAUUGUA